GUGUGUUGGCUGAUUCUCUAGGGGUUAAGGGUGAGGUGAGGAAGGAGAGGAGGCUGUUCCUGGUUGGUCAGACGAGGCUUCACUUGGACUCAGUGGAGGGCCUGGGACACUACAUGGAGCUAGAGGUGGUGUUGAGGGAGGACCAGAGGCCUGAGGAGGGGGAGGCGAUUGCUCGCAGCCUGAUGAAGGAGCUCGGUGUCGGGGAUGACAGCCUGGUGACUGGUGCCUACAUGGACCUCUUGCUGGAAUGCCAGGGAUGUUAGCAACACACAGUAUAUGAACCCUCCCAUGCAGGACUACAACAUUCCCAUCAUGUGAAAGCAACUGGAAAACGCUUUUGGUAAUAAAAAAUAAAAUAGCAAA